UACGUAGGGGGCUAGCGUUGUCCGGAUUUAUUGGGCGUAAAGAGCGUGUAGGCGGCCUGGCAGGUCUGGUGUGAAAACUCGAGGCUUAACCUCGAGAUGUCAUCGGAAACCAUCUGGCUAGAGUCCGGAAGAGGAGAGUGGAAUUCCUGGUGUAGCGGUGAAAUGCGCAGAUAUCAGGAAGAACACCAAUGGCGAAAGCAGCUCUCUGGGACGGUACUGACGCUGAGACGCGAAAGCGUGGGGAGCGAACAGG
rnacentral:rRNA from 1 species